UCAUUGACCACUAUUAUCGGAUACGCCGAAAAAAGUAGUAUAGAUACCAUAUUUUGAUGAUUGUGAUUGAAGGGUCAAUCAAUUGAUCUCCCUACCGAGGAAGACCAUCGUGGAGUCAUGGGGUUCCCCUUUCCCUCACCACGCUCUCUCCUCCUCUUCAUCCCUCGCUCUACACUAGCGCCGCCAUUGUCUCUCCAUUCCCUGUCGCUUCUCCCUUUCUGCAAGGGAGCAUCCAUCUCUUCUUAACCAUCCAGCACCCCGGCGGCUAUGUCCGCUGCGGCGGCAGCGACUACUACGGGCAUGCCAGUGCGUGGAGAUCCCCGUCAACUUCAAUUUCGUAUGUGAGAUCCACGAUCCAUAGUCUAAUCAGAUAGGAUUUGGGAUGGGGUUUUCUUUGGCUCCUCCGGAUUGCUGUGAUUUUGCAGGGUGUAGUCACAUCAGGGUUCGGGUGCCUGAUGCUGGCAUGCUGCGUGGAGAAGAAGGGUCUGGUGUUCGCCGCCGCCUUCAGCCCUCUAUCACAGAUAUUCGCAGCUCUACCUGAAUCGCAUCCGGGAUUCAGCGCUUGUGAUCAUGUGCUCUACCUUGUAUUCCUCCGGAUUACCGGUGUGCAUGUGUGCAGUAGUCGCUUCCUGUUUCUUGCCCAGUAUGGUAUUCCUGCUGCUGUCUUAUAUUCCGUGGCCUUCUAAAUGUUUGGCGUAAUACUUAAACCACAUUUACUCCUCUUCCUGGUCAUGUAUGUAUUAUGUGUUGUGGGUCAAUAUAAUUUACUUGCUCCCGACCUGCCAGCAAACAAUUUGCUUUCAGUGUAUUGCAAUGCUCUUGCACUUUAAUCUCCAUGUUGCAUAUAUUGCAAUGAUCUUUAUCUGAAUGUACUUCUCUUCAAACACAAUUUGUUCGCAACUUGACCUUCCAAAAAUUAGACAAGAGUUGUAGAUACUUAAUGGGAAGGGUAUUUGAUCUUGAUUUUAGUGAUAGCUGUAUACAUUCUUAUUGUUUUCACCUCAGAAUGUAGCGCCACAAGCAGUCGGGCCAACAGCUACGGCUGUGGGUGCUAGGAGCGAAGGCCGUGUUUAGUGUGUUUAUGGGCUAUUAUCAGACUCGAGUAGCAACAGAUCCACAAUAAAAGAAGAUAAUGUAAGUUAUUCAGUUGCUCAUUGUUCUGUCCGCAACAUUAACUAAAAUUCAUACUUCCGCAACUUAGGUAACUUAAUUUCCUUAAAUUAUUGUAUUUUAUGGUGCUUCUCAUUUCUGAAAGUUGUUUCUUUAUUCAAGUUUACUCAUAAUUAUGUGAAUUUAAGUAUUAGAGAUCCAGCAGCAAUGGUGUUUGCAUGUGGGAUCCUAGAAGAGUGGCCUAUUACAAUGGCCUGUUAGAAGAUACAUAGAGAUAAAAGGGCACAGAUGCCAAAGAAAUGCUGCAAGACAAGGAUGCGCUGGUGGAGAUGCCUCGUCGGUGUCUCCACCCCACUGUCGAGUUCCCGGUGGAGAUGUCUCAUUGUUGCACCAGUGCUUCAUGCCCAUCACUCCAUCAGGGAGUACUCCAACAUCGAGUGGACCUUCGACUUGCAACACCGGAAGGUGGAGAAUGCCAGCCGUCGGCAGAGGGAGCAGAAGGCAAGGGAGCGGAAGGAUCUGGCGGCAGCCCUAAUGCAAAGGGCUGCCUCCAUCGAGAGGAUGGUGGAGACCCUGCCCCAGUAUGCCCCCACCGCGUCGGGGAGCCAAGGUAGCGUCUCGUCACCGUGGCCGUCAAGCUCAUCGCCAGCACCCAGGCUGGUGCUCCAAGAAAGCCUUCUACGCCGGUGGGUGAUCUCGCCCUUUGAUUUCCGCGGCUAUGUAUUGACGGCCGACAUGCGCCAUUUUUUGAUUCGCUACACAUUGAUUCGCGGCGACUUGCGAUGAUGUGAUUGUUGAGACUAUUCGAUCGAUUUGUAGGCGCCAUAACUAUGUGAUCUGUGAUCUAUUUAAAUUUA